GCAGCUGGGGCAGGAGGCAGGGGGCUGCGGGACGCCCCGGUUGUUAGCUGAGCCUGGAGCUCUGCCAGCUGCAGCUCUUGGGCCCCAGGAAGAGGGGCAUUGUCCAGGAGGUGCCACCAUCAGCUCGGACAGGUCACACCGCCCCUCCGAGCCUCAGUGUCUUCGCUGGCAGAGUCCCAGCUUCGUGGGGUGUUGUGAGGUUUAAAGGAGCGGGUUUUAUUGUCGCGCGGAGGGCAGGCGCUGCCUGGCAGUGUGACGGGGACUCAGCCUCAGAUGCAGACAGGCCUGGAGGGCCCUGGGUGAGUCACUUCCCCCUGCAAGCCUCGACUUCCCCGGCGGCCGGUCCUGAGCCUGAGAUAACAGAAAGAAUGUUCUCGGAAGCAGGAACUUUUGAACCACUAGGAUUGCCGGAUUUAGCAAAAACGAAAACACCAAGAUCAAUGACAACAACAACGAAAACCCGGAAUGCCCAGUGAAAUGGGAAUUUCAGAUAGACGAGAAACGCUUUUCUGGUCCCUGCGAGGCGAGAGUUACUGCCCGCCAGGAAGCAGAAGCUCAGAGGAGGCGUCCACCUGCCCAGGAUCACUCGGGCAGGUGUCCCGGCUGAGGUGAGGGCCUUGGGCAGAGCCCCAGUGACAUGGGCUCUGUGUCACCCCUGCUCACUUCCUGGAUGGCAGUUUCGGGAACAGAGAGCCACCUUGGCAGCCACCUGGCACUUUCCCCUGCCCCAGCCCUCACCUGUUGGGGAAAGUCCCUGUGGGUCACCUAAGGCUGGAGGCUGGCACAGCCAGGAUGGGGGCUGGGGAGCGGGGUGGGCAGAACUCCCAAGCUGUGGGGCAGAGGGGCGUCAGGAGGCAGAGGGAGGCGGGUGGCGCAGUGGACCCCAGAGCUACCUUGGCCAUGUGGCCUCCUGCCCCACAGCCCCUUGUCAGCAGCAGGGCCUUACUGACACCCCAGGGUGGGCCCUGGACCAAGAGGGGGUGCCUGGACUCACCCCUCUCCCCACCUGUGUACCCUUGGGGAAGCCUUAGCCCUUCUCUGGGCCUGAGCCCCCUCCUCUCUACAAAGAAGCAUUGAUUCAUCUAUUUGUACUUCCACAGAUAUCUCUUGAGCACCUACUAUGUGCUGGGUACUAUUCUAGGCACAGGGCAUGGGGGACACACCAGAGAACAAGACAGACUAAAAGCUUUGCUCUCAUGGAGCUGAUGGUGUAAUGGGGAGAGAGACAACAGACACAAAAAGAAGAUAAUUUGGGGUAGGGAAGGCACUAAGAUGGAAACAAACAGGGAGCAGUGAUGGGGUGUCACUGCAGGGGCCCCUUGAGACAGGGCAGUCUGAGAGGACCUCUCUGAGCAGGUGAUGUUUGAGCAAAGACCCAACUGGUAGAAGGAGCUGGUCCAGUGGCGCCGUGGAGAAGGUACUCACAUGAACAGCAAGUGCAAAGGCCCUGGGGCAGAGCAAGCUGGUGCCUGUGGGAGAAGGUGUUGCUAGAACUCAGUGAACAAGGGGGUGCCUGGUGAGGUUGAGGUAGGGGAGGUGGGCAGGGGUGCAUCACACAGGGCUUUGCUGGGCUCUUCCUUCACUUCCUUCACCUUGUGUCACUUCCUCCAAGGAGCCUUCCCUGGUGACCCUGCCUAAACCAGGCCCUGCCUUACUGCACCUCCUAUCCUCAUCACUACGUGGCAUCAUCGUCUCUGUUUAUUGGUGUGUGGGGACACAUUGUCUGUCUUUCUCCACAGUUACGACAUCAGUCAGUCGGUGGAGGUGGCCGGAAUCACCUGUUGACUCCCAUAGGGUGGGCAUGGGGGGGGCGGGGAAACAGCUGCUGUGUUUUGUGGGUGGCAGGUUUGACUCGACUUCAGCCUCACAGGCCAACUCUGGAGCCCAGGCCCUGAGUACGGCGAGACUCCCCGCAGUAAUGACGACCGUCUCUGCUGGCUUUCCUUGGAUGCUUUCUGUAUUGGGCAUUGCUAAGCACUUUUUCCUAUUGUG